rnacentral:rRNA from 1 species
CCUACGGGUGGCUGCAGUGGGGAAUAUUGGGCAAUGGGCGCAAGCCUGACCCAGCAACGCCGCGUGAAGGAAGAAGGCUUUCGGGUUGUAAACUUCUUUUUUCAGGGACGAAGCAAGUGACGGUACCUGACGAAUAAGCCACGGCUAACUACGUGCCAGCCGCCGCUGUAAUACGUAGGUGGCAAGCGUUAUCCGGAUUUACUGGGUGUAAGGGGCGUGUAGGCGGGACUGCAAGUCAGAUGUGAAAACCACGGGCUCAACCUGUGGCCUGCAUUUGAUACUGUAGUUCUUGAGUACUGGAGAGGCAGACGGAAUUCAUGGUGUAGCGGUGAAAUGCGUAGAUAUUAGACGGAACACCAGUGGCGAAGGCGGUCUACUGGACAGCAACUGACGCUGAGGCGCGAAAGCGUGGGGAGCAAACAGGAUUAGAUACCCCAGUAGUC